rnacentral:rRNA from 1 species
UACGAAGGGGGCUAGCGUUGCUCGGAAUCACUGGGCGUAAAGGGUGCGUAGGCGGGUCUUUUAAGUCAGGGGUGAAAUCCUGGAGCUCAACUCCAGAACUGCCUUUGAUACUGAGGAUCUUGAGUACGGGAGAGGUGAGUGGAACUGCGAGUGUAGAGGUGAAAUUCGUAGAUAUUCGCAAGAACACCAGUGGCGAAGGCGGCCAACUGGUCCGGUACUGACGCUGAGGUGCGAAAGCGUGGGGAGCAAACAGG